GACGAACGCUGGCGGCGUGCUUAACACAUGCAAGUCGAACGGAAAGGCCCUGCUUGCAGGGUACUCGAGUGGCGAACGGGUGAGUAACACGAGGGUGAUCUGCCCUGCACUUCGGGAUAAGCUUGGGAAACUGGGUCUAAUACCGGAUAGGAGCCAUCUUUAGUGUGGUGGUUGGAAAGUUUUUUCGGUGUAGGAUGAGCUCGCGGCCUAUCAGCUUGUUGGUGGGGUAAUGGCCUACCAAGGCGGCGACGGGUAGCCGGCCUGAGAGAGUGUACGGCCACAUUGGGACUGAGAUACGGCCCAGACUCCUACGGGAGGCAGCAGUGGGGAAUAUUGCACAAUGGGCGCAAGCCUGAUGCAGCGACGCCGCGUGGGGGAUGAAGGCCUUCGGGUUGUAAACUCCUUUCGCUAGGGACGAAGCUUUUUUGUGACGGUACCUAGAUAAGAAGCACCGGCUAACUACGUG
rnacentral:rRNA from 1 species